rnacentral:rRNA from 1 species
GAUGAACGCUGGCGGCGUGCCUAAUACAUGCAAGUCGAGCGAACAGAUGAGGAGCUUGCUCCUCUGACGUUAGCGGCGGACGGGUGAGUAACACGUGGAUAACCUACCUAUAAGACUGGGAUAACUUCGGGAAACCGGAGCUAAUACCGGAUAACAUAUUGAACCGCAUGGUUCUAUAGUGAAAGACGGUUUUGCUGUCACUUAUAGAUGGAUCCGCGCCGCAUUAGCUAGUUGGUAAGGUAACGGCUUACCAAGGCAACGAUACGUAGCCGACCUGAGAGGGUGAUCGGCCACACUGGAACUGAGACACGGUCCAGACUCCUACGGGAGGCAGCAGUAGGGAAUCUUCCGCAAUGGGCGAAAGCCUGACGGAGCAACGCCGCGUGAGUGAUGAAGGUCUUCGGAUCGUAAAACUCUGUUAUUAGGGAAGAACAAAUGUGUAAGUAACUGUGCACGUCUUGACGGUACCUAAUCAGAAAGCCACGGCUAACUACGUG